UGGGGAAUAUUGCACAAUGGAGGGAACUCUGAUGCAGCGACGCCGCGUGAGUGAUGAAGGAAUUCGUUUCGUAAAACUCUGUUCUAUGGGAAGAAAAGGACUGUACCAUAGGAGAAAGCUCCGGCUAAAUACGUGCCAGCAGCCGCGGUAAUACGUAUGGAGCGAGUGUUGUCCGGAAUUAUUGGGCGUAAAGGGUGCGCAGGCGGCUUUACAAGUUGGAUGUGAAAUAUUGUGGCUCAACCACAAACGUGCAUCCAAAACUGCAAAGCUUGAGUUAAGGAGAGGUAAGUGGAAUUCCUGGUGUAGCGGUAGAAUGCGUAGAUAUCAGGAGGAAUACCGGUGGCAAAGGCGACUUACUGGACUUAAACUGACGCUCAGGCACGAAAGCGUGGUGAGCAAACAGG
rnacentral:rRNA from 1 species